rnacentral:rRNA from 1 species
GAUGAACGCUGGCGGCGUGCUUAACACAUGCAAGUCGAACGGAGCUGCUUUGAUGAAGUUUUCGGAUGGAUUUAAAACAGCUUAGUGGCGGACGGGUGAGUGACGCGUGGGUAACCUGCCUCACACUGGGGGAUAACAGUUAGAAAUGACUGCUAAUACCGCAUAAGCGCACAGUACCGCAUGGUAUAGUGUGAAAAACUCCGGUGGUACAAGAUGGACCCGCGUCUGAUUAGCUGGUUGGUGAGGUAACGGCCCACCAAGGCGACGAUCAGUAGCCGGCCUGAGAGGGUGAACGGCCACAUUGGGACUGAGACACGGCCCAAACUCCUACGGGAGGCAGCAGUGGGGAAUAUUGCACAAUGGGGGAAACCCUGAUGCAGCAACGCCGCGUGAGUGAAGAAGGCUUUCGGGUUGUAAACUUCUUUUAAGAGGGAAGAGCAGAAGACGGUACCUCUAGAAUAAGCCACGGCUAACUACAUG